rnacentral:rRNA from 1 species
AUGCUUGUAGAUCAUGAAAAGAAUGCUUUAUGUGAUGGUUAUAUUGUUGAAUUCAUUCAUGAUGCUACUGAAAAUUAUUAUGAGAGAGGAAUAUGUGCUUGUAGGAAUUGCAAUAAUAACAAGUUUCCUCUCUAUGUGCUUAAAGUUUUGAAGUUAUGCUUGUUUAGCCUUCCUAUGCUAGUUGAUUAUUGUUCCCAUAAAUUGUUUGCUCACAAAAUCCAUAUGCAUAGGAAGUGGGCUCGACUUAAAUUUGCUAGUCAUAUUCUUCAUGAUGCUCUCUUUAUGUUUCAAUUCUUAUCUUUUAUGUGA